UUGCUCACUUUGGUAGCACAUAUACUAAAAAUUGGAAUAAUAUAGAGAAGAUUAGCAUGGCCCUUGCACAAGGAUGACAAAUUUGUGAAGUGCCUCAUAUUUAA
ensembl:snRNA U6 U6 spliceosomal RNA